GUCAACACUGGUGACUGCGGAUUAUAGUCCAAAGCAACCCCCUAAAGAAAAUUUAUCUCCAGGAUUUAGUCAUCUACUUAGCAAAAAUGAAAGCAAUCUAAUUAGUGCUGUUAUCCUCAUUGAAAAGUCAGGAAAAUGAGAAAAAAAGAAAUUUAGAAAAUGCCAUUGGCAACCAUGAUACUCAUAACUCUUGCUCUGAAUCCUUGCCAAAUGGAGUGAAGAAAGUGUGAGAUCAACCUGGGAGAAGAACCAGUCAUUUAUCUAUGAACAGUGUGAGCCAAUUUCAGUAAC